CCCGGGGGGGGCCUAAUACAUGCAAGUCGAGCGAAUGGAUUAAGAGCUUGCUCUUAUGAAGUUAGCGGCGGACGGGUGAGUAACACGUGGGUAACCUGCCCAUAAGACUGGGAUAACUCCGGGAAACCGGGGCUAAUACCGGAUAACAUUUUGAACCGCAUGGUUCGAAAUUGAAAGGCGGCUUCGGCUGUCACUUAUGGAUGGACCCGCGUCGCAUUAGCUAGUUGGUGAGGUAACGGCUCACCAAGGCAACGAUGCGUAGCCGACCUGAGAGGGUGAUCGGCCACACUGGGACUGAGACACGGCCCAGACUCCUACGGGAGGCAGCAGUAGGGAAUCUUCCGCAAUGGACGAAAGUCUGACGGAGCAACGCCGCGUGAGUGAUGAAGGCUUUCGGGUCGUAAAACUCUGUUGUUAGGGAAGAACAAGUGCUAGUUGAAUAAGCUGGCACCUUGACGGUACCUAACCAGAAAGCCACGGCUAACUACGUGCCAGCAGCCGCGGUAAUACGUAGGUGGCAAGCGUUAUCCGGAAUUAUUGGGCGUAAAGCGCGCGCAGGUGGUUUCUUAAGUCUGAUGUGAAAGCCCACGGCUCAACCGUGGAGGGUCAUUGGAAACUGGGAGACUUGAGUGCAGAAGAGGAAAGUGGAAUUCCAUGUGUAGCGGUGAAAUGCGUAGAGAUAUGGAGGAACACCAGUGGCGAAGGCGACUUUCUGGUCUGUAACUGACACUGAGGCGCGAAAGCGUGGGGAGCAAACAGGAUUAGAUACGCUGGUAGUCCACGCCGUAAACGAUGAGUGCUAAGUGUUAGAGGGUUUCCGCCCUUUAGUGCUGAAGUUAACGCAUUAAGCACUCCGCCUGCGGAGUACGGCCGCAAGGCUGAUACUCAAAAGAAUUGACGGCGCCCGCACAAUCGUUGGAGCAUGUGGUUUAAUUCAAAGCACGCGAAGAACUUACCAGGGCGUGGCGUCCUCUGAAACCCCACAGAUAGGGCUUCUCUUCCGGAGCGAAGGGACAGUGAUGCAUGGUUGUCUUCGCUCCCGCCAAGAAAUGUUGGGUUAAGUCCCGCACCCACGCACCCCUGAUCUUGUUUCCAUUUUUAUUUUUUGCCUUUAAACAACUCCGGGCCCACCGCAGAAAGGGGGGG
rnacentral:rRNA from 1 species